rnacentral:lncRNA from 1 species
GGGAGCACAGGUGAAGGCAAUUCAGCUGUGUGACUGGAAGAGGUGGAUCCUGGCUGCACUUCUCUUAGGCCUCACUGAAGGGCUGACUACCACUGGGGAAGGAUCUCUUUCUGGAGAUCCCUCCUUGGUGAAGCUUUACCCUGCAAACCCUGUAUCUUCUGAUACAGGUGAGCAAUCUUCUUCCCUUCCUUUAUAGCACUUUUCUAUUAUUGUGCUGGUCCUACUGUCAUCACACCUUUGUUGUAGCACCUUUUCCAUUGUACCGGUCUGUCCAAUUGCUACAGGUAGCAAAACACACAAAGGGCUGGAAAACAAUGGAAGGUGUAAAAGCCGGCAUAUGUUUUGCACUAAAUGUGCAGUAAGAAUUAGAGGUGGUGAGAUUGACUCCUGAGUUACAGGAGGAGAUAUAGCUGGAGCAUCUAUUUUUUGUGAAGGAUUGUUGGGAAAGGAAGGUGGAAGGGGGGAGGAUGCAGGCUCAGGAGGAGCUGCAGGUGAAGCAACCACCUACCUGCUGCAGUGCCUGUCUUCAGGUGUGUGGAUGCUACGCUUGCUUUUUAGCAGUAAAGCUCAACAAUAUACAUAUAAAUACCUAAACUUUUCUGAAGGCAUGAAGUAUGCCUUCAGAAACACUUCAAAACUGGUCAUGAUGGUAACUUUAAGAGGGAAACACUGAUAUGCCAUUUUUUAACUGUUUUGUUUUAUUUUAGAUCUGUGUUUACUGACUAGUGUAAAUACAGAGAUUAGACUGAAGAUAGGAGUGUGUUGCUGAUGAGUCUAGCUUUUCCUUUUGUAUCAGCUGCUGCUGGAUGGAAACAUGAUCUGAAUUCUCCCUCUCCAAGCUGAUUGUAGGGAUGCAAUCAUAAAGCUGUUUCUUGUUCAGCUGGCUACCACUGGUUGUCCAGACAGUAUGCUUGGACUAGCUAAGGUUUUCAUAAUGUGAAAGAGUAAAAGACAUCGAUUUUAGGAUGUCUCAGUAAGGCAUUUGAAGAAGACAAAUAUUUUCAGUGUUUCAAACAUCCAUUGUUUAAAAAUGGUGCCUUUUCAAAAGUACAAGCUAUCUGAUGUUCGUCUGUUCAGAAGACUCUGGUGAGAAGGUGCUUCAUGUAAAUAUGCAUCUCAGGAGUUUUCUCCUAGAAUAGCUCAUGGUGAUAAUUUUACUUGUAAUGGAUGCUUCCUUCAUUUAAAUAUGAAUUAAAUGUUGAAAUACUUGUAAAGGAGUCAAGUUUUAAUUUUUACCCAUUCAUUUUUAAGAUGUCAUCUUCAAAGUUAUCCCCUUCUGUAAUCAUUAUUUGUAACAGUGGAAACUUAUGGGGGUCCUUUUCUAUCUUUGUUUUUUUCACCAUUCUUCUUCCCAAACUGUGCUGCAGAAUGUGUUAUCUUGAGGUUUAAUAACAUAGCCCUUUUUUAAAAAAAAAAUCUUGGAAUUCUUAGACUGUUACUGAUAAUGACAAUUUAGUGAUGACAAUUUAAUAGGUUUUUAGCUGUUAUUGAAGAAAACAUGACAUCUAGGCUCUGAAAAUUUCCACUACUUAUAACAAAAUUGUUCUUUUCCAUUUUGUACGCCUUUGAAAUGGGUGAUGCUGUUUGAAUACUAAUGAUGCCUUUGGCUUGGUGUUUCGUGGCUUUUUGGGUGUCUGUGCUGAAUAGGAAAUUAUACUAUCUGGUAACUUUUGAAUCUUUUUAUGUAAUUUUAUUUUUUUCUCAUUAUUCAUCCUUAUGGAUCAUAAUGAGUAAGGAAACAUUUUCAAGUCAGUUCUGAGAAAACUAAGGGGAGGAAACAAAUGUAUGGUGUGUUUGGUUGCGAUAAAACAGUGAGAGUGUAUUGAUAAUGACUUAUCUGCUGUCGUGUGACAACCAAGUAAUAUGAGAGCUGCUUAGAUUAAACUUUUUAAUACAGUGAGACAGCUGAUCAUUUCUCAUAGGCUGAUACUCAGUUCUUUCCUAUUGAGUGAUAAAGUGGAAGCCUUCUUAUGCCUUUUGUCAAAUGACAUCUCGUGUCUUUAAGGCUGGUAGUAUUGAUAUUACAAAGUAACCAAGACAAAUUAUAGCAAGCCUCUAUGAUUAAUGUUAAAAGGAAGCUGUUGAAAGUGAACAUCUGUCACCUGUUUAUAAGGAGUCUGCUGAGUAGUUUUUCCACGCUGAAUGUUGUUCCUUUCAGAUAAUUUUGACUGCUUCCAGGUAGAAGCUUUCGUAACUGUUAGAGUUUCAAUAAGUAUGCUUAUUCAAGUUGACUGAUGGCACAUCAUGGGUUCACUGAUUGAAAUAAAUGACUUUGCUUCUAGAGGAGAUGCUUUUGCUGCUUGACAUCAUCAGCCUGGUGGCAGAGGGUAUAGAGUUCUGUCUUAGUAUUUGCAUGAGUUGAAUAUAGAUAUGAGGAAGGAUCUUGUCUGUCUUAAACAUCUAAAUGAUGUGUGAGGAAACGAUACCGAAUGUCUGCUCCAUGAGCUUUAUGUUGAUCUCUAGUUAGCAUUCCUCUAGUAGAAAAAUCACAUGCAGUUUUCUGUUACAGCUGCAGAUACUUGAUUAGUAGAUUAGUCAAAGUUUUAGGUGUAGUUCAGGCUUUCUCAAUGUCAACCUAUAUUUUUGAUUUUGAGCCAGGCAACAGACAAAUCUGUGGGAGAAGGAAAUAAAGUAAGGUUUUAGUCUUAUGUCAAGAAGGGUAUGAUAGUUCCAGUAAGGACAAAAGGUAAACUAAAAGUAGAUUGUAGUGUAGGUUUGCUUUGAAUCCCCAGUUAUUUCUGGUAUGCCUUCAGCUUUCUUAGAUGAAACUCUUACUGCCCUUAUCUGUAAAGAUGUUAGAUGAAAUGGCUUUUAGUUCAUCCAUUUUGUCUGUGAAGUACCUUCCUCUGCUGAGCCUUAAAACUGAAAGGCACUUUCAGAUAUUAUAAUCAAAGGGGAAAAGGUAUUAUCUUACAUUACUUUCUUGGUUUUGUAGACUACCCUGAGUAUAUAGAAUAGUGGAAUCUGAUCCUCUUCUGUGUUGGAGGGUAAGCAAUCAAGACGGUCAUGCUGUGAAUGAUUGCCUUCUGUAAUGUCCAGCUUAUUACACAGAUGAGCAACAAUUGUAAAGUGAGUAGUAAUGACGGCUGCUAUAGUUUCAAGACAAACAAAUGACUUCAUUUUCUAGAUCUUUUUGUGAAAAGCUAACUGCUUGUAAAAUAAUCCUUGGAGCCUCAAACUGUGUGCAGCAGCGGUCUGUUUGUUACUGGGAGUAAUGAAGCCAGUGAGGAAUAAAAGGUAUGCUGUGUUAUCGUGCAUAUCUGCAUGCUUAUACGUGGUUGCAUGUGUAUUUGCAUCACUGGAUAAGCAGCAUCACUGACUUCUAAGAUGUUGAAACACUGCAAGUAAUUCUUAAAAUUUAGUAUGUUACAAGUUUCAAAGGCUGUUACUUGAAUCAGAAAAGUUAUUUGUUAGACCCAUGUAAUCUGGAUUCCAGCAGUUUGAAAGGGAGAUGAAGUCUAUGAAAUAGCACCUCCGCUGUAGACUGUGUAUUUCUUAUUAAGUUUACACCUUAGCACCAAUGCUCAAAUACUUGUAGGCUGAAAGUAUUUCUUUCUGUUGCAGUGCUUAUUCCUUUACGAGCUCCAGUGUAAGUUUUUGCUUAGUUUGCUUAUGUGAAGUUUUAGCCCAAGUGUGUUAAUGUCAAAUGGAUGAGUUGUGUGAGAGUAAAAUAUAGCCUUUUAAAAAAGCUUCUAAAAUACAGCAUUUUUAAAUGGUAUUCUGUUAUGAUUUGGCCAAAACAUUGUGGAUUUUGACUACCUUGAAGUAUAUGAUCUUCAAACUGUCAGAUAUCAGCAAGGAAAAAAGACUGGUGUUUAAAACUGGAUUUGCAAGCAACUUUGAGGUGCCUGAGGACUUGCAGAUUUCCUGUAGUUUAUCACAGUCAUCUUGAAAAUAAUGAUAAUUUUCCUACCCACAAGCGUUGGGUGAUAUAAAUAGUGACACUACAGAUCUUAAAACUAUUGUCUAUCAAGAGUUUCCUCUUUCUCUUUUCAUCUUCACUCUGAGGGGUGUUGAUCAAACCCUGUCUAUUCACAGUUCCUUGUAUGUGCUUGGAUAGCAGUUGCUGACGUUAGGUCUCUUCAUCCCUGGUUUGCUAAUAACUUAACUUUGAAGAACUAGAGUAUGGGUCAUUUUACUGCCAUAUUUCAAGGCUUUGUUUUCUUUGUUAUUUGGCUUGGUGUGCCUGUUACUCUGAAGAGCAAUGACAUAACUUGCUGUUGCUUUCACUUUUUCAUUUAGAAUAUUUAAAAUGGUGCUGCUUUUGUCAGCUUGUUUUUUUUUGGGGGGGGGGGAAGGGGAAGGUGAAGACAAGGGGUGGUGGUGGUCCCUCCAACAGUACUACGCUAUGGGACAACAUGAAGGUCUUGCUUGCUGCUGGACUUUUCUGUUUAUCCGUUCCAGUAUUCUGAGAUCCCCGAUUGGCUUAAAAGAAUCUGUAAGUACUGUGGUAUGGGGGGAAUACUUUGCUUUCAUUUAAAGCUCUGCAUCCUGUAAGGAAAGAUUGUAGAGUUAGCAUGUUAACUUUAAGCUGACUGAAUAUAGUAGGAUGUAAUUUGAUAAUCUGAAGUUACAUAUUAGGAAUUUUUGUCUUUGACAGGAUAUUGUGUAGUGUCUGUGGUGUUUCACCUCAUACCUAUGCAUUUAGCCUGUGUUCGUUAGUAUAGUGGUGCAUGAUAAAAGCAUGGGAAGAUCUUGUUUGUGAUUUAUUUUGUUGCAGUUGCUUAGUUUGGAAACAGCUUUAGCAGUCCAAGCUGUGUUCUUUCGAAAUGACCAAGGAGUGCCACAUUAGAUGAAAUAUUUCUGUCAGUAUGCCAAGGCUGGCUUCAGAAACUGAAGCGUCGUAGCAGUUGAUUUGGUUCCCUCACUGAUCUCAUGCUCAGCAAGCUCUGUUGCUUUGUCUGUUCUUCACUGGUUCCCUUUCUGGACAUCUCUCUAGCUGGAGUUUUAGCAGACGUUUCAAAGGUCUUUCUAGCUUAGGCAUUCAAGUGUGUCAUCUCCAGUGUAUGUUUGCUUCAAUGAACAGCUGAAUGUAAUGUUUCAUGUCUGUUAUUUCAGACAACUUAAUAUGGGUCCCUAAAAUAAGUAGGCUGGGGAGGCUGUUGGGUCCCCAUGACAUAGCCUUUGCUGUUUUGCACUGGUGUGUUGUUGCAAAGUGUAACAGCUAUAUUUGAACAAAUAUUCUGGCAGAAAUGGUGCAUUACCCAUGGAGAAAUGGAGAAUUCAAGUAAUGGGUGCUAAAUUAAUAAUUUUAGCAAGAAUACUGGAAAAGAAAGAAGUGUUUGUCUCUAGUAUGGUCUCUAAGGUGUUCCUUACUGGGUAUGCCAUACUAACCACUUGGUCUUUCAAACAACUGUCAUCCUGCAAUAUUUAGAUUCUAGAGAAACAUUUGAACAAGAAAAAAACAGUGUUGUUGCAAGUAUUUCAUACUGUGGCAGUUUGGAAAUAGGAAAUACUGGAUUAUGUUUACCAUCAACUGUAUGAUGACUGGAGGAAGGAACAUGAAAGCAUUUUAGUCUAAAUGUGCUUCACAUGUGACUGGAAACUGCGGUUCUUUUUGUGCUUUCGGAGUGUCAUCCCUUUGAGAGAAUCUGUUAUGUCUUCAUCUGUUAUGCCAAUCUGAAAUUGUCAUUCCUUCAUCAUGUAACAGUGCUUUGAAUUUUCUUUAAUGAUGAGUGGUGUGGUAGUUUAGCUUUCUAAGUGUUUUAUUUGAGAUUAUUUCUAGGCACAAUAAUUCUUGUGUGUGAAUAAAACUGUCACUUAUUCUCCGCUGUCAUUUCUCUCUCCUCUGACAUGACUUUAUUGUGUUGAUACAGUUGAUUCUUAAUAUAAGCUUUGCUUAUUUAUUUGAGUGCCAACUUGUUUAUGAAGUAUGACCACUCAGUCUUGCCUGGGAUUUUCCCCACUAAAGAUCACUUCAUGUCCUUACUGCUGUACUGAUACAUAUUUAUUAUCUUUCAGGCUGUGACUGUUUACAUGCUGAUAAACACAGCUAUUGCAGGGAGUGAUUGGCUGUUCUAUUGCAGAGCAAGUAAGCAUGUGUUCAAAACUGCUUAAUGUUGGAUAGUGAAACUUAAAAGUGAGUUUAAACUGUAGAUCUUGCUUCUUAAUGAACUUUGCCAUGUUAUCCUUUUAUUCUGGAUAACUUACUGUGUCCCAUGGUGUGUGUGCGUGUUGAACUCAAAAUUCUGGCUCUUCUUACAGAGAUUUUAUGUAAAGAAUGAUUUAUUUGAUUGAACUUCUCCAUAGUUCAUUCUGCAGAUGGAUGCUAAAUCAUCAGGUGUUGAUAUUUAUUGCAGAAAUAAGAAAUAACUUGGACAGUUUGAGUUUUAAACUAAGUUGAACUCAUGGGUUAAAACUCUUGACUUCUAAAUAUUCUGAACAGAGAGGCACUGAGACUUUCCAAAGUUGAAGAUGAUGAAAAUACUACAGAGGAAUGAAAAUGUAAUCUUUUUUUCUUUUAUUUGUAAUACAUGUUACCUCUCUCUCUCUCUCUUUUUAAAAGCAGCUUUUUGGGGAGCAGAUAAGUGGUCUCUUCUACAGAAGAUUGUGGUUCAGACUCCUGUGGCUUAAAAUACUUCAUAUCAUCAAGUGAGGCUGCCACAAACUGUCUUUUCAAAUGUACUGUGUAGAAGGAAGAACUGCUGUCAAACUCUUUCCAGUGUCUUUCUCCUUCAGCCUACUGUUUUCUUCUCUUUGGCUUUCAGAUUGCAUGUGUUACUGAUGCUUGUUAAGGCUGCACAUUUCCUGCCUUACCAUAUCCAUAGAGAGAAUGCUGCUGAACCACUCUGACUUCUGAGCUUUGCAGUGUUAGGCUGGGAAGGAUUUCUUGGCUUGGGCAUACAAAGUGAAUACCCAAUUCUGAUCGUUUCUCUUAUGUGAUUUGUGUGGAUCAUUGCCUUUUCAAGGAUAAAGGACUUGGAAAGAAAGCUGAGCCUGUGAGAGGAGAGUAUGUUGUGUCUAUUUCUAUCUGCCUGUUUUGGAAAGUCUAUUCUCCAGUAAUGAGGGGAGUUAUUCAUCCCUUCUAGUCGUAAACAGAGAAAUUAGUUUGCAAGUACCUUUUGAGAGACAAAAAGUGUGAUAAACUAGUUACUGAAGUCCUCCUCUGUAAUGCCUAAGCUUUACACGUACAUGUGGGUUAGCCUAGUCCACACAAACUUUUCCUUAGGGCUAGCAUGUUUACUCUUAACAGCUUAUGAACACGUGUUGCUUUUAAACUUGUGUAGUAGUGUAAUCUGAGAUGAGAGCUACAGUACAGCAGCUAAAUAUAUCCUUGAAGCAGUGCUGGUAAGUUCAGCAUUCAGAAAUUAACUUUCCAAAUAAUGAUGGCCUCAAUCUUUCAGGGCUACAGAAAGAAAACAGUCCUUUUUUCAUGAGGUCAUGUUAUUUCUGCAAUAUGAUUCUACUCUACUGAAUUUCAGUUUAUUCUUGUGCUUGCCUGAGACCCUGUUAGGUGUAUUAGUGUGAGUAUAACAAUGUUAAUGCGAAGCAAGUCAAUUUAGGAUAACAGUAAUGUUUAGUUUGUGGUGGAUAUGCAAAAGCUUAAGUAGUAAGGUGUUGGGUUGAGUAUAAGUGAGUAUAAGACACAUUAUUUGUCAUAACGCCAAUACAGCCAAAAGAUGUCUCCUCUUGCUCCAUUUAAUGAUAGCGGUGAUGGCAGUGAAAUGUGUUAAUUGAAUGUUAAUGUGGAAAUACAUGGUCAGUGUGGAUUUUGGUACAAUUGCUGCAUAAAAUUUUACUUGUUAAUUAAGCAGUUCAAUUUUGUCUAGUUAUAAAACGUGGAAUGGGGGAAAGCCAUCUCUUGACAAAAGCCUCUGUGGUGGCAAUUGAGUAUAUGGGUUGUACAAUGCUAUUGAGAAAAUUGGUACUCUUUAGGCUCUACUCUUCAUCAAACCUUUCUCUGCUAACUUCCAACAGUAAAUCUGGUACUGUAUUCCAGAGGUAGGAUGAUGACUUGUGUUUCUGGCAGCUGAAUUACGCCCAGAUUUUAAACUAGAUCAGUUUUCAUGUAGGAGUCUCCUCAAUGACUCUGAGCACAUUAAAUGUUGUACUGAGGAGAGAGAGAGCUAGAAAGUGGGAGGUAGUUUUGCAAACUGAAUUUCACAGGUGAGUCUUUAGGUAGUUAUGCAGCAACCUUUACAUUUCAUUGUUUUUUCCUACAUAGUAGGUACCUAGUAGGUCUUGUAUUUAUGCUGACUGAAAAUGGUGUUGCAUAUAUACCAGGAAAAAAGUAAUUUUUUUGCAAUCUUGAAUCUUGUUUUCAAAUUGCUUUGUCACAAUGGGAAGUCUGGUUUCUGCCGAGUGGUGACCUUGUGCCAGCUGCUGCCAUGAUGGGAUGGGGCAGGGAGUGGGCUGCAUGUGGGCCUCAGGUUGGACGUGCCCGUUCAGGACAUAAUGCCCUCAAUGAUAUGCUUUAGUUUUUGGUUAGCUCUGAAGUUCUCAGGCAGCUGGACCAGGUGAUCCUUGUAGGCCCCUCCCAGGUCAGCCAUAUUCUAAUGCAUGUUAAUUGCAAACCAACAUCUGCAAAAUGGACCUGGAUGUGAGGCCAUUUUCUUGACGGUUGUAGCAAAGUUAGAGAUGUUUAUGUAAAACUGUGGGCUGGUAGAAGUGACCUCGUCUCUGUAAGGCUGCAAAUAGGAAAUGAAUAGGAUGCCUGCUUCUUAAAACAUUUCAGUCAGUUUUGGUUUUCUGCACUGUAAUGAAACUGUUUCAGAAACUGCUAUUUGCAGUCCUCAAUAUUUAUCAGGUAGGUUCAAGUCACCCUCUUCAUUUCUAUGUCUUCUUAGAAAAGCCAUUUGAGUGCUGAUGUGGCCUUGAGGUGACUUGUUCACAGCAGAAACUGCCAUGUUACACAACAAGUUGAAUCUUAAAGAGGUGUAAGACUGGUGCUUUUUGAUGGUUAUUACAAAUAAGUACAAAGGCUUCCUAGAGUGUGGAGGAGCUGCUUUGCUUUUUAAGACAGCAAAGAAGGUUUGUGUAGAAACAGUUUUUCCAGCAUUUCUUAAAAACUACCUGAAAAACUGGUUCAGUGUAGUGGUAAGAGGUGAGCAUUCAUGUCGGCCUUACUAAAUUGUACUGAAGGUUUCUUAAGAGUGCCUGGCUUUUCCUGAGUUCAAACACAUGAUGCUCCAUCUGAUACGUAGCAAAUCAAACUAAAAUCUUUGGUUAGAAGUGAUUAAAUGAGGAUUUCAAACAGCUGUCCAAUGACCUGCUAAUUGGAUCUGAAUGUACGCUAACCAAGUGUGCAUAGCAUAUAGAAGUUAUAAGGCGUGCCUACCAGCACAGAUCCUUAACAAGUAUGCAUAUAAGCUGACACAUCUUGCCUGAUGCAUGCAGACUAAAUCUUGAGCUAACCUGAUUGUUUUUUAGAUUUUUAAUUUUUUGCAUGAAAGACAUUGCUUUCACUGGUAUUUUAAGUAGGCCCUUCCCCAAACAACAAAAUUGCCUAAGAGCGCUCAAAGCUUUUACGUCAUUCUGUUGGCCAGCCUAACAUCAUGUAUUCUUAAUAAAUAAAAGAGAAAUACCAUGACGACUAGUUUGUUUAGUAAAAUAAAUUAUAUUUCUGGUUAUUUUUAGCAUGUAUUGUAUAGUGCAGCAAGUACUUAACUUGCAGUUGGUACUUUUGUUUUAAAAACCUUUGUUUGUAAACUUAAUUACUUGCUGAUUAACAUUGCAGAGUGAGUAUUGUCCACAAAUCUUACUUUCAGUUGAAGAAAAUCUAGGAUAACAUCCAUUUUGAAUAUGUUUCAAACUUGCAGUUGUGUGGGAGGAGGAAUUCUGUGGGAGACGGGAUGAUGUUAGUCCACUGAGCUGUUUUGCGAGUUAUGUUUCAUUUUUGGAGAUUCGUUGUUGCUACAGUAUUUAAUGUUGAGCAAGUGCCCUUUGAAUAUUUUCUUUUUUGAGUUAAUAGCCACAGAAUCAUGGAUUUCAUACUUCGGGCCUUAUUCAAGUACUGAGUGAACUUGUAUCACAUUACCAAAAUUUGGUAAAACUGAGAUCACAACUGUAAUUUUCACUGUGGCUGAAAUGUGCUUCAGUUAUUGAGACCUUUUCUUGUUGCUCUGAAACUCCUACCACUGUGUCCAGCAUCUUCAGUGGGAAAGAAGGGCUCAGGAAUUGCAGUGCAGGUUUGUUCUGGUGAACUUGAAAUAAAGCAGGGAUUUUGGAACCAAAAAGGAAGAUGUGAAAGUAAAAUGCAACUUUUCUAAUUUUUUGUAGUUGUCAUUUAAUUACUGUCAGUGUUCAGCCUUAUUUUGCAGUGGGUAGUAUUGCUUGGUUGCUAAUAUGCUGUCCUCGUCGAAAGGUAAUUUGAGGCCAGGGCAUCUCUGUAAUUACUGGAGCUUCUCAGGACUGACAGCUUAGUAAUAGUAGUCCCCAGUGAGGUAAUGUUAUGUGACUGCAUGCAGAAAUCAGUAAAAAAUGGACUGCACGACAGCAGCAACUGCUAAUUUCUUGGAUCACUGGCAAAGCUGGGAGAGCUUGUUAAGUCCCAGUGGAGAACAAGGGAGAGGCUUGGAAAAUGUUGUGAGAAUUGGUGUUUCAAAGCAGAGUCUGGUGGGUGGAACUGGAAAGCUGUUGCGGAGCAGUUGCUGCUGUAAAUGAAAGUUAAAGGGAAAAUCUCCAUUGCAACUUGAAGAGGAAAAUUUCAGUGAAACUGUGCUUCUAAGAGGAAGAGUGUCCAGGUCUCUGGGAGACUGAUAAGCUGCCUCACAGCCUACAUUACACUGGGGGUGCUUUUGGCACCUUUACAGUGAAAAAGCCUAAUAUUGUUCUGAUUUCUUUUAUGCUGUUCCUCUUCUGAGCUCAGUGUGUUGCAGGCCUCACUUUCUUCCAUCUCUGCAAUUCUGUGUUACUCAUCCUAUCUAUGUGUCUCUUUAAGCUACAUUAGGGCUAUAUUUCAUUUAGUUUUCUCUUUAAUUGUGCAGAGGUACUUGUAAGUAUAAAACUUGAUCUGCCUUCCUCCAUGCUCUCACUGUUCUGUCCACAAUUGCUUUUGCACGAAGAUAAAAGUUGCCCUUCCUAAAUGCCUGCAGGUUGCAUGGUCAGGACAACGUGCCAGAGGGAAAUAUGUCAACCAGAGAUGUAGUUCUUCCUUCAUGGCCCUCCUUAGCCUUGUCAGUAAAGAGGCAAGGCUCGGCUUUGAUAUUCUUGGUUUGAGUUGCUUUUAAAAGCUUGUUGGCCAUCUAUCUGUACAGCGAAGUGCUAUCUGACUAGUCAGUCACACCUAGUGACAGGAGACUUGAGUGCUCAUCCUUCAUGAGAGCAGCUGGAGUGAAAAUCAACUCAGAAAACAAUGGUGAAUGAUGUUAAACUCAUGCUGAAGGACAUUCUGCGGCUAUCUUCCUCUUUGAGUAAAUUGAUAAAUAGGUAGUUGAUUUUAAGAAACACUUUUGUAGUCUUGUACUAUCUGGUUUCAUGUUAGACUCCUGAAAAUGCAUGCUAAAUAUUGCUUCAAUAACUGUUUUAGCUGGCAGACAAUUAUCUAACACCAGGCUCAGUAGUAGCUCAGUUCUCUUGCUGGCUUCUCGCUUUGUCUGCACUGUAUCCCUCACUUGGGCUGCUCUGAAUUUUCUGCCAAGUCAGGAGCUUUGUUUUUAAGCAUGCUGUGACAGAAGUGGGUUAAUCAGGAGUGCUUUAAAUUUUUCAUGACAAAAUCCAUGUAGGAACUGAUGCACAGGGUUAGAAACAGCAACAAAGAUGGAAUUUCAUUUCUGACCACACUGUUUGUCCUAUCAACCUGCAAAAUUCUAUCUACUAAAAAACAGUUGCAUAAUGUUACCAUUUUUCCUGGACACGCUCAGCUCCUCCGUUCAUUCAAAUGGUUUAUGCCUAGCUCCGUGGUAAUCAUUUACUUAAUGUUGGUUCUUGCAUUCCUGUAGUCUAUGGAGAAAGUUAACGUUCCCGAACAGGUAUUUUAGUUGUUGCAUUCAACAAAACCAGUUGUAUUCUGAGUAGAUUCCUGUAUUUUAAUUUUAUGGCCUGUGACUUUAGGGUGGAAAAG